rnacentral:rRNA from 1 species
CGUAACACGUGAGGAACUUGUCCCGGUCUCUGGGAUAACAGUUGGAAACGACUGCUAAUACCGGAUGACGUCGGAACUUCGCAUGGAGUACUGACGAAAGGGUUACUGGAUCGGGAGAGCCUCGCGGCCUAUCAGCUUGUUGGUGGGGUAACGGCCUACCAAGGCAUCGACGGGUAGCUGGUCUGAGAGGAUGAUCAGCCACACUGGGACUGAGACACGGCCCAG